UACGAAGGGGCUAGCGUUGUUCGGAAUUACUGGGCGUAAAGCGCACGUAGGCGGAUUGUUAAGUCAGGGUGAAAUCCUGGAGCUCAACUCCAGAACUGCCCUUGAUACUGGCAAUCUUGAGUCCGGAAGAGGUAAGUGGAACUGCGAGUGUAGAGGUGAAAUUCGUAGAUAUUCGCAAGAACACCAGUGGCGAAGGCGGCUUACUGGUCCGGUACUGACGCUGAGGUGCGAAGCGUGGGAGCAAACAGG
rnacentral:rRNA from 1 species